rnacentral:rRNA from 1 species
AGGGCACCACCAGGAGUGGAGCCUGCGGCUUAAUUUGACUCAACACGGGAAAACUCACCCGGCCCGGACACUGGAAGGAUUGACAGAUUGAGAGCUCUUUCUUGAUUCAGUGGGUGGUGGUGCAUGGCCGUUCUUAGUUGGUGGAGUGAUUUGUCUGGUUAAUUCCGAUAACGAACGAGACUCUAGCCUACUAAAUAGAUAGUCGGCUUACAAACGUCGACUAGACUUCUUAGAGGGACAGGCGGUGAUUCAACCGCACGAAACAGAGCAAUAACAGGUCUGUGAUGCCCUUAGAUGUCCGGGGCCGCACGCGCGCUACACUGAAGUGAUCAGCGUGCUUUUUCAGCCUACUCUGUCAAGAGUGGGAAACCCAAUGAACCUUCUUCGUGAUUGGGAUAGGGGAUUGUAAUUAUUCCCCUUGAACGAGGAAUUCCCAGUAAGCGCGAGUCAUAAGCUCGCGUUGAUUACGUCCCUGCCCUUUGUACACACCGCCCGUCGCUACUACCGAUUGAAUGUUUA